rnacentral:rRNA from 1 species
GUCCACACUGUAAACGAUGAUAACUAGAUGUCCGGGAGUAAUCCUGGGUGUUCAAGCGAAAGCGAUAAGUUAUCCACCUGGGGAGUACGACCGCAAGGUUGAAACUCAAAGGAAUUGACGGGGGCCCGCACAAGCGGUGGAGCAUGUGGUUUAAUUCGAUGAUACGCGAGGAACCUUACCUAGGCUAGAAUGUGCGUGAAUGAUAGUGAAAGCUAUCAGUCCUUCGGGACACAAAACAAGGUGCUGCAUGGUUGUCGU